rnacentral:rRNA from 1 species
GACGAACGCUGGCGGCGUGCCUAAUACAUGCAAGUCGAGCGCAGGAAGCCGUCUGAACCCUUCGGGGGGACGACGGUGGAAUGAGCGGCGGACGGGUGAGUAACACGUAAAGAACCUGCCCAUAGGUCUGGGAUAACCACGAGAAAUCGGGGCUAAUACCGGAUGUGUCAUCGGACCGCAUGGUCCGCUGAUGAAAGGCGCUCCGGCGUCGCCCAUGGAUGGCUUUGCGGUGCAUUAGCUAGUUGGUGGGGUAACGGCCCACCAAGGCGACGAUGCAUAGCCGACCUGAGAGGGGGAUCGGCCACACUGGGACUGAGACACGGCCCUGACUCCUACGGGAGGCAGCAGUAGGGAAUCUUCCACAAUGGACGAAAGUCUGAUGGAGCAACGCCGCGUGAACGAUGAAGGCUUUCGGGUCGUAAAGUUCUGUUGUAAGGGAAGAACAAGUGCCGCAGGCAAUGGCGGCACCUUGACGGUACCUUGCGAGAAAGCCACGGCUAACUACGUGCCAGCCGCCGCCGUAAAAC